rnacentral:rRNA from 1 species
AAUCUUGGACAAUGGGGGCAACCCUGAUCCAGCCAUGCCGCGUGAGUGAUGAAGGCCCUAGGGUCGUAAAGCUCUUUCGCCUGUGAAGAUAAUGACGGUAGCAGGUAAAGAAACCCCGGCUAACUCCGUGCCAGCAGCCGCGGUAAUACGGAGGGGGUUAGCGUUGUUCGGAAUUACUGGGCGUAAAGCGCACGUAGGCGGAUCGGAAAGUUGGGGGUGAAAUCCCGGGGCUCAACCCCGGAACUGCCUCCAAAACUAUCGGUCUAGAGUUCGAGAGAGGUGAGUGGAAUUCCGAGUGUAGAGGUGAAAUUCGUAGAUAUUCGGAGGAACACCAGUGGCGAAGGCGGCUCACUGGCUCGAUACUGACGCUGAGGUGCGAAAGUGUGGGGAGCAAACAGGAUUAGAUACCCUGGUAGUCCACACCGUAAACGAUGAAUGCCAGUCGUCGGGUAGCAUGCUAUUCGGUGACACACCUAACGGAUUAAGCAUUCCGCCCGGGG